GUCCACGCUGUAAACGAUGGGCACUAGGUGUCCGGGGUAUUGACCCCCUGGGUGGCCGCAGCUAACGCAUUAAGUGCCCCGCCCUGGGGAGGUACGGUCGCAAGAUUAAAACUACAAAGGAAAUUGACGGGGGCCCGGCACAAGCGGUGGAGCAUGUGGUUCAAUUCGACGCAACGCGAAGAACCUUACCUGGGCUAGACAACGGUGGACCAUCCUAGAAAUAGGCUUUUCCCUUCGGGGACCGCCGGUUCAGGUGCUGCAUGGCUGUCGU
rnacentral:rRNA from 1 species